UAGAUCAUGUCCAGCUGGACUUUCUCGC
rnacentral:sRNA from 1 species